rnacentral:rRNA from 1 species
UCAGCAGCCGCGGUAAUACGUAGGGUGCGAGCGUUAAUCGGAAUUACUGGGCGUAAAGCGUGCGCAGGCGGUUUGUUAAGUCAGAUGUGAAAUCCCCGGGCUCAACCUGGGAACUGCGUUUGAAACUGGCAAGCUAGAGUCUGUCAGAGGGGGGUAGAAUUCCACGUGUAGCAGUGAAAUGCGUAGAUAUGUGGAGGAAUACCAAUGGCGAAGGCAGCCCCCUGGGAUAAGACUGACGCUCAUGCACGAAAGCGUGGGGAGCAAACAGGAUUAGAUACCCUGGUAGUCCACGCCCUAAACGAUGUCGACUGGUUGUUGGGCAACUUGAUUGCUUAGUAACGAAGCUAACGCGAGAAGUCGACCGCCUGGGGAGUACGGUCGCAAGAUUAAAACUCAAAGGA